AAAUUUAUCUGUAACUUACUAUUUGAAUUCGAGAUUCCAAUACACCAUUCCUGAGAUAGAUAUGGAUAACGAGCUUCUUGCUGCUCUUCGUAAUGUGAUAUAUAAGAUGAUGCCCGAUCCAGAAAUCGCAUCCUUGUAUCUGCAAGGGUAUGCUAGUUUAAAACAGAUGUAAUUAUUUAACUAAAUUCGAUCUGUACUCAACGAUAUAUUUAUAAAUUUAAUAAAUAUAUUUUUUUAUAGACGAAACAGCUUAGAGAAAGAUCAGACAGCUUUGGAGUCCCAUCAACUGUCGUAAGCAAAAAGCAGAUCAAUCCAGAUAAAUUACAUAUCAAUAAUGAGCAGCAUAGAUUGACAUCAAAUGUCUAAUAAUAUCAUGAAAUUUGAUAUGUAAUUUUGCUUUUGUAGCUGAAUGGUGGAUUCAUUUUGAAAUGUCCGCAGAACAUUUGAGAGGUGUGGCUGUCCGCAUUCUUUUCCAGACCGUCUCUACUAGUGGCUGCGAGCAUAAUUGAUCGACUUUCGUCCUUAUCCAUAGUAAACAGAGAAAUCAUCUGAUACAAAAGUGCCUCAAUGAUCUUGUAUAUGUUCACUAUAAUCUGAGAUUGAAGCUAAAAUGCAUUCAGAAAGAAGUACAACUGAAGUACACUGAUCCGACACUAGAUGAUUAUGCUGACGAAGAUGACU
rnacentral:lncRNA from 1 species